UGUAAUGUAAUAUCUUUAGUUGCUCAUUUACUAAUUCAUUAAGAUAUAAGUUAAACGAAUCAGAAGUAAAGCACGUGCAUUUCAAGAACAUCAACUCAAACUAUAUACUAAUACUCCCAACCCCAACCCCAUAAAGGAAUUCAAGAAAAUCAAGAUAACACUAACAGUAUUAAAUCACACACCACGAGGUGGGGGGGGGGGGGGGGGGGGGGGGACUGCCGCCAUUGGCAUUCUUUAAGCCCACCAGCUAAUCAACUACUGUACUCAAGUAAGUAAUUCAAUUUCGUAUUGAGAUUGAUGAUUGGGUAUAAUUUACAAAUUGUAUAAUGCGAUAUGGGAGUGUGUGUUAGGAAUUGAACGCCAGGAAGAUCUUCAUUCUUCCGAUAACCACUUCGAGCUAUCUGUUAAUACACGCCACUUAUUUUUCUUUUUCUUAAUUUCUUUUAUGUCUCUCAAGUAUAUCCUUCUUAGCAUUU
rnacentral:lncRNA from 1 species